rnacentral:rRNA from 1 species
UACGUAGGCAGCGAGCGUUGUUCGGAAUUACUGGGCGUAAAGAGUGUGUAGGCGGUUCUUUAAGUUCGGUGUGAAAUCUCCUGGCUUAACUGGGAGGGUGCGCCGAAAACUGGAGUGCUCGAGCGUGGGAGAGGAAAGCGGAAUUCCUGGUGUAGCGGUGAAAUGCGUAGAUAUCAGGAGGAACACCUGCGGUGUAGACGGCUUUCUGGACCAUUGCUGACGCUGAGACACGAAAGCGUGGGUAGCAAACAGG